rnacentral:rRNA from 1 species
AUUGAACGCUGGCGGCAUGCCUUACACAUGCAAGUCGAACGGCAGCACGGGUGCUUGCACCUGGUGGCGAGUGGCGAACGGGUGAGUAAUACAUCGGAACGUACCUUAUCGUGGGGGAUAACGCAGCGAAAGCUGUGCUAAUACCGCAUACGCCCUGAGGGGGAAAGCGGGGGAUCGCAAGACCUCGCGCGAUUAGAGCGGCCGAUGCCUGAUUAGCUUGUUGGUGGGGUAAAAGCCCACCAAGGCGACGAUCAGUAGCUGGUCUGAGAGGACGGUCAGCCACACUGGGACUGAGACACGGCCCAGACUCCUACGGGAGGCAGCAGUGGGGAAUUUUGGACAAUGGGGGCAACCCUGAUCCAGCAAUGUCGCGUGAGUGAAGAAGGCCUUCGGGUUGUAAAACUCUUUUGUCAGGGAAGAAACAGCAGCUCUAACACAGUCUGCGAAUGACGGUACCUGAAGAAUAAGCACCGGCUAACUACGUGCCAGCCGCCGCGGUAA